GAGGAAUUCCUUGAGUACCGACUGAUGGAAUUAAUUUAUUGAAAAGAUAUAUGAAAUUUAAACUCAGCCGGGUCUUUUUUGACCCAUGUUGCGCAUCAAACUAGUCUACUACUGUGAUGUUUUUGUCCAUUUUAGCAGUUCAGUAAAUGUUACUAUUACCUUAAAAUGUCUGUAAAUAUGUGUUUUAUUUGUAACCGUAUUAUAAAUGUGAUGACAGUUGUACAGGCUGUUGAUGUUUGAAGGAUAACUAAAGAUAACACUGCUCUAAGAUACAUAAAAAUGGUGUUGUAAGCCAUCUGUGUGGCUUAUUUUAUUAACUGUUUAUAUAAUGUGUCUUUGUUAAGUAUGUAAUGUUUUUCUUUUUUUUAAAAAUGUUUCAUAUUGUAUAUAACGAUCAAAACCUCUCUUAGUUUGGGGAUAAAUCAGAGAAGAUGUGGUGAGGAUUUUCACAGACUUUGUUGUGGGUACAAAAAUAUGUAUUUCAAAAUAAAGUGUGCAUGGUAAUCCCAGCUCUUAAUGCUGUAAAUGUCUUUGAAAAGUGGUGGAUGGCAUGCUGCUCUCUGUGCCGCUGCGUAUGGCAUGGCUGGCGGCCAGCCACCAGGCGGGAGAUGGCAUAUGCACACAGCACUGGCCUCACUGACUCAGUACUAUUAAAGGGAAAGUGUACGAACAGUUUUAUUAGAUAUCAAACAGACUAUGUCACGACUCUGAGUAUAAGUGGCCACUUUUAAACAAAAACAAAUGAAGCGCUGUAUUGAGAUGACGACUGUUGUGAAUUGGCGCUAUAUAAAUAAAAUUUGAUUGAUUUGA